rnacentral:rRNA from 1 species
CCUACGGGAGGCAGCAGUAGGGAAUCUUCCACAAUGGGCGAAAGCCUGAUGGAGCAACGCCGCGUGGGUGAAGAAGGUCUUCGGAGCGUAAAACUCUGUUGUUAGAGAAGAAAGUGCGUGAGAGUAACUGUUCACGUUUCGACGGUAUCUAACCAGAAAGCCACGGCUAACUACGUGCCAGCAGCCGCGGUAAUACGUAGGUGGCAAGCGUUAUCCGGAUUUAUUGGGCGUAAAGGGAACGCAGGCGGUCUUUUAAGUCUGAUGUGAAAGCCUUCGGCUUAACCGGAGUAGUGCAUUGGAAACUGGGAGACUUGAGGGCAGAAGAGGAGAGUGGAACUCCAUGUGUAGCGGUGAAAUGCGUAGAUAUAUGGAAGAACACCAGUGGCGAAGGCGGCUCUCUGGUCUGUAACUGACGCUGAGGUUCGAAAGCGUGGGUAGCAAACAGGAUUAGAUACCCUAGUAGUC